ACGAACGCUGGCGGCGUGCUUAAGACAUGCAAGUCGAGCGGGGGGACCCAGAGCAGCUUGCUGUGAGGGUUCCCUAGCGGCGGACGGGUGAGUAACGCGUGGGCAACCUACCCGCGAAUCGGGGACAACAGUGGGAAACCGCUGCUAAUACCGGAUGAGCUUUUCUGACCGCAUGGUCGGGGAAGGAAAAGGCAGCCUCUGCCAUAGCAAGCUGUCGUUCGCGGAUGGGCCCGCGUCCCAUUAGCUAGUUGGUGGAGGUAACGGCCCACCAAGGCGGCGAUGGGUAGCCG
rnacentral:rRNA from 1 species